AUCGCUUCUCGGCCUUUUGGCUAAGAUCAAGUGUAGUAUCUAACUAAUCCAAGUGGUUCAUACGUCAGGCUGGUCAUAACUUGAGAGUCAUAUAUAUAUAUAAUAUCAAAAUAGAAGAUAGAUAAAGAAGUAGGGAAAUCUUU
rnacentral:snRNA from 1 species